AGAGACGUGAAUGAGAAAGCAUGUCUGAAAGGAAGAGGUCAAUCGAUUCCUGCUCGCUAUAGGUCACGUUCAAGUGUGGUUGGUGAUAAGGAAGAUCUAAAGGAAAGACAGAUGAUCGCGGAUGUUUACUCCAUAGCAAAUAAAAUGCAAACUCAAAGCACAUUUUCAUCAUUGCUUACGUAACAGCACGCAUGGAAAUCAAAUUAAAGUAAUUCUUUACUUGCAUAUGUGCGAAACAUCUCCGGUAGGUCUAUUUAUCCUUCGCUUAAGGCAAACAAGCCAUUAGUAUAAAUAAGGUGCUGGAUCUCUUAAUCAUUACCUACAGAAAGCAAAGACGACAUCAGAACUCCAAGUAUCACAAAACAACAAAUAACUACAAUGGCAUUGAAAAUUGCAUCAGUUCUUAUUCUAUCUAUGCUCCUGUCUUGUGUCUUAUCAAUGACGAUCGAAAGGGAGCUGGCAGACUCAGUCAAAGAUGGAUUUUCCAUUUUCAAAAAGUCUACUUGCAAAAACGAUUGCUGGGGCAAAUUUGAAAGUUGCAUAAAGGCAGGUGAAACGCUGGCUGAUCAUUUGGUCUGCUUAGAAGCCAAAGAUGGAUGUUAUCAGGCAUGUUGAGCUUAAGCUAGCUGGCUAGCGUAAUCUUCAGUCAAGAUUUACACGUCUUUUUAGAAACAGUUAACAAAUUGGCAUUGUUGCAAUGCAAUUUCCUGUCAAACUUAGGAUAGCUCUGUGCUAAAAAUAUUGCUGUAAUUAUGCAGAAUAGAUGUAUUUAGUAAUAAUUUAUUUUUGAGAUGAAUUUCGAAAA